rnacentral:rRNA from 1 species
GAUGAACGCUGGCGGCGUGCCUAAUACAUGCAAGUCGAGCGAACAGACGAGGAGCUUGCUCCUCUGACGUUAGCGGCGGACGGGUGAGUAACACGUGGACAACCUACCUAUAAGACUGGGAUCACUUCGGGAAACCGGAGCUAAUACCGGAUAAUAUAUUGAACCGCAUGGUUCAAUAGUGAAAGACGGUUUUGCUGUCACUCAUAGAUGGAUCCGCGCCGCAUUAGCUAGUUGGUAAGGUAACGGCUUACCAAGGCGACGAUGCGUAGCCGCCCUGAGAGGGUGAUCGGCCACACUGGAACUGAGACACGGUCCAGACUCCUACGGGAGGCAGCAGUAGGGAAUCUUCCACAAUGGGCGAAAGCCUGACGGAGCAACGCCGCGUGAGUGAUGAAGGGCUUCGGAUCGUAAAACUCUGUUAUUAGGGAAGAACAAAUGUGUAAGUAACUAGUCACGUCUUGACGGUACCUAAUCAAAAAGCCACGGCUAACUACGUG